rnacentral:lncRNA from 1 species
UGAUUUGAGAUUCGCAGUACAAAGAUCUAACAGCUUCAGCGACAACCAGACUUCUAACCUUAUGUCAAUGAAGCGCGAGUGCCGAAGAGGGGGGGAGGGAGUCUUAAUCGGACGACGAAGGGGACGGAGCCGGGAAGCUCCUUUCAACCGAGGAGAAUGAAAAAGAAAGGAGAAAGGUGAAGGACACGCGUGAAGGACAUACCACUCAAAGACGAAAAUUCGCAGUUUAUUUUCUAUUGGUUGAAAUAUAAUUGGUUGUAUAAAUAAUAAUAUUCUUAUAAAAAACAAACUUAAAUAUUUACUUAAUUUUUAUAUAUAAAGUGACAUUUAAAUUGAAACAGAAAAAAUAUACUUAAGGUAACAAAAUUGCAACGUAACAUAUAUAUGCAUUCAAAUUACGUAUAAACUACAUGAUACAUAGCAUAAUAGUAUAAAUCUUUAUUUUUUCUAUCGAGAAAACAACCAUUGAAACCUUGAACUUUCAAAUUAAAGCCAAAAAAGCCUUGAACACAUGUUUGAA